rnacentral:rRNA from 1 species
GAUGAACGCUGGCGGCGUGCCUAAUACAUGCAAGUCGAGCGAACGGACGAGAAGCUUGCGGCGCUGAUGUUAGCGGCGGGCGGGUGAGUAACACGUGUAUAACCUACCUAUAAGACGGGUAUCACUUGGGGAAACCGGCUCUUAUACCGUAGAAGAUCUUGAAGCGCGGGGGGGAAAGGUGAGAUACGGUCGUGCGGGCAGUUAUAGAUGGAUCCGCGCUUCAUUGGCUAGUUGGUAAGGUAACGGCUUACCAAGGCAACGAGGCAUAACCGAACUGAUGGGGGGAUCGGCCGCACUGGAACGUGGACACCGUCCAGACUCCUACGGUAGGCCGCAGUAGGCAACCGUCCGCAAUGGGCGAAAGCCUGACGGAGCAGCGCCGCGUGAGUGAUGGAGGUCUUCCGAUCGUGAUACUCUGUUAUUAGUGAAGAACCUCUGUCUACGUAACUGUGCCCUUCUUGACGGUACCGAAUAAGAAAGCACCGGCUAACUACGUG